UUUCCGUAAGGUUAUUAAGGAUCUAUAAAACUAGAAGACGUCAAGUGUUCGACGAAACCGACUAUAGAAAAUUAUUUCUUUUCUAACUAUCUUACGGUUGUAGGAUUCCGUUUCUGGAGAUGGAAGAGUUGAUUUGCUUUAAAUAUCUCAUCUACCGAUAUUUUUAAAGGAUACUACGUAUGCGUCGUAUGUGACGUAAUGUGGGUUGCGUCGGGUCGGGUCGGGUCGGGUCGGGCCGGGCCGGCGUUUGUGUCACUCGAAGGCUAAAAUCCGGCAGUAGCAGGUGAUAAAAGUGGGUCACAUACGAUAAUAACGUGCAAACUAAAGAAAGUGUUCCAGAUUUGGCAAAGCUCAGGCUGAUGCCAAAGGAAGUGAUGCUACGUGAAAAGCAUUGUAAGCUGCUGCUGCUGCCACUUGCGCAAAACGACUAAUUCGGGCUUCUACAACAAACUAUUGAAAAAAAUCUACCGGAAAUAGUAAAACGAAAUGGCAUUGUCUAUCCCCCAUAAAUAUGAUAUAUUUUGGUACACUCGUAGUUGUUUUAAUUUGGCUUUUAUUUUGAGGGAUGCGCCAAACCAUCGAAGGAAGUUCUAUGGUGGCACCAGAGAAAUGGUUAAAGAGCAUUUAUCAAAAUGGCACAUAUUUCCCUUAGUAAUACUAUAUUCAGAAUAUAGAAACAUUUACUUGAAUUCUAAUUUUUGAAAGUGGUCAAUAUAAUGAUUUCUCUGUAACGUUUCGCCGCUUCGUGGACAUCCGUCGUUUGUUUAAUGUGGAAUCAAGUCUUGAUCUAUUUCUGCUGAAAACUCCCCUUUACACCUGAGACUGACGUAUGGCUGUAGCGUCCAUAAAUAA